rnacentral:rRNA from 1 species
GAUGAACGCUGGCGGCGUGCCUAAUACAUGCAAGUCGAGCGAACAGAUAAGGAGCUUGCUCCUUUGAUGUUAGCGGCGGAAGGGUGAGUAACACAUGGGUAACCUACCUAUAAGUCUGGGAUAACUUCGUGAAACCGGAGCUCAUACCGGAUAACAUUUAGAACCGCAUGGUUCUAAAGUGAGAGUUGGUUUUGCUAUCACUUAUAGAUGGACUCACGCCGUAUUAGGUAGUUGGUAAGGUAACGGCCUACCAAGGCGACGAUACGUAGCCGACCUGAGAGGACGACCGGCCACACGGAGACUGAGACACGGCCCAGACUCCUACGGGAGGCAGCAGUGGGGAAUUUUGGACAAUGGGCGAAAGCCUGAUGAAGCAAUGCCGCGUGAGGGAAGAAGGGUUUCGGGUUGAAAAACGCUUUUAUAAGGAAAGAAAAGGCUGUAGCUAAUACGGGAGGCUGAUGACGGUACCGAAAGAAAAAGCACCGGCUAACUACGGG